GACAGAGGAGCCAAGCGUUGUCCGGACUGACUGGGCGUAAAGGGCACGCAGGCGGUGCGACAAGUGGUGUGUGAAAGCGCUCGGCUUAACCGAGCGAGGCCAGGCCAAACUGUCGCACUGGAGCCAUGCAGAGGGUGGUGGAAUUGCCGGUGUAGUGGUGAAAUGCGUAGAGAUCGGCAGGAACACCAAGGGAGAAGUCAGCCACCUGGGCAUGUGCUGACGCUGAGGUGCGAAAGCGUGGGGAGCGAACUGG
rnacentral:rRNA from 1 species